rnacentral:rRNA from 1 species
GAUGAACGCUGGCGGCGUGCCUAAUACAUGCAAGUCGAGCGAACGGACGAGAAGCUUGCUUCUCUGAUGUUAGCGGCGGACGGGUGAGUAACACGUGGAUAACCUACCUAUAAGACUGGGAUAACUUCGGGAAACCGGAGCUAAUACCGGAUAAUAUUUUGAACCGCAUGGUUCAAAAGUGAAAGACGGUCUUGCUGUCACUUAUAGAUGGAUCCGCGCUGCAUUAGCUAGUUGGUAAGGUAACGGCUUACCAAGGCAACGAUGCAUAGCCGACCUGAGAGGGUGAUCGGCCACACUGGAACUGAGACACGGUCCAGACUCCUACGGGGGGCAGCAGUAGGGAAUCUUCCGCAAUGGGCGAAAGCCUGACGGAGCAACGCCGCGUGAGUGAUGAAGGCCUUCGGAUCGUAAAACUCUGUUAUUAGGGAAGAACAUAUGUGUAAGUAACUGUGCACAUCUUGACGGUACCUAAUCAGAAAGCCACGGCUAACUACGUG